UUUCACUUCUACUACUCUUUUACACUUCACGUUCUCUCUUCUCCUCUUUGCUCUUUCACUCUCACCACCAUCUCACCUGUAUCAAUUCCUCCUAUACCCAAUUCCAAACCCUAUUACCAACAGCCCCAUUUCAUCCUUCUCCUCAAUUACCAACAGCUCACCUCCAUCAAUUUCUCUUAUUCCCAAUUCCAAACCCUAAUUCCAAUUACGGGAUACAAAGACAAACCAAAUACCAAGUGAAGAUUCUUUGUUAAAAAUCUUAGGUAUUGGAAAUGGCAUUCCUCUUGAUGUUGUUACUACUCCUAAGAUUGCAAAGGUUUUGACUCACAAAUAUUCCUUUAACUUUGGUGGAAAUCCUGUUUGUAUAGAUGUAGGAUUGGCUGUUUUGAAAGUAAUAAUAGAAAAGAGUGAGGUCCCAUUUGAAAGAGGGGCUUAACGCACUCAAAGACAAAUAUAAAUGGAAGGUUUCUAUUCCUUUUUCCAUCUAAGAUUAAUGCAUAAGAAAGCAUUCAUGAAUUCAUUCUAGGGAGAGUAACAUAAAAGAAUCAGAAUUUGUUUCUCUCUCUUUAUAUCUCUAAUAAACUUGUUUUUUUAUUCUAUUAUAAUUGCUGAUGUGAGGAAAAGGUUUGAUGCUUGGAGUUGAACUUGUCACUGGCUGUGAACUUAAAAUGCCAGCCAAAGAUGAAACACGACAGGUGAUGGACCAAAUAAAAGGUUAUGGAAUUGUAUUCAGAAAUCAGCUCCCUUAUCUUUUACCAAAGAUGUUUCCUGAUGGAUGCUAUGAAGUGCACAUUAUCUAGAAUUUGACCUGUGAAGCUUAAAUAAGAUGCAAGUGUAAAUAAAUGACAACUUAUUUUAUGAUAAGUUAAACUCUAUUAGAAUAUUAUGUAUUCACUCAAGCAAGUAAAGUUUAUAAAUUUUAAAUGCUUGCUUAGACCAAUAUAAUUUAAAAUUUCUAUUGUGAAUUUGAUUUCA